rnacentral:rRNA from 1 species
AACGGAUUUGGCGGCAAAAUAUUCCCCCCUAGAGGAACCUGCCCUAUAAAUGAUACCCCACGAUUAAUUUUACUUUUAUUAGUGAACAGUUUGUAUAUCGCUGUUGUUAGUUAGAUUUUUUAGGAGACUUUCUUUAAUGAUUUAUUUCAUUGACUUCAAGUAAAGGUGCAGCUUAUGUAAAAGAAAGAGGUGGGUUACAAUUAAUAGAAUAAAUGAAUUUAAGUAUGUAAAAACUAAUGAAAAUGGAUUUAGAAGUAACUUUUUAUAAAUAAUUUGAUAAGAGUAUUAUUUUGUGUACACACCGCCCGUC